GCGCUGGUAGCUCAACGGAUAGAGCAUCUGACUACGGAUCAGAAGGUUGGGGGUUCGAAUCCCUCCCAGCGCG
rnacentral:tRNA from 2 species